UACCAGCAGCUCGAGUGGUAACCGCUAUUAUUGGGCCUAAAGCGUCCGUAGCCGGUUUGGUAAAUAUCUGGGUAAAUCGUGAGGCUUAACUUCACGAAUUUCGGAUAGACUGCCAGACUUGGGAUCGGGGGAGGUCAGAGGUACUCCAGGGGUAGCGGUGAAAUGUUGUAAUCCUUGGAGGACCACCGGUAGCGAAGGCGCCUGACUAGAACGAGUCCGACGGUGAGGGACGAAGCCCUGGGGCGCAAACCGGAUUAGAUACCCGGGUAGUCCAGGGUGUAAACGAUGUGGGCUUUGUAUUGGAGGUCCCACGUGGGCGUCCAGUGCAGAAGAGAAGUUGUUAAGCCCACCGCCUGGGAAGUACGGUCGCAAGGCUGAAACUUAAAGGAAUUGGCGGGGGAGCACAGCAACGGGAGGAGCGUGCGGUUU
rnacentral:rRNA from 1 species